rnacentral:lncRNA from 1 species
GUGUCUGCAAUGCAUGUGACUUUGAAAUAUUUAUUGUAUUUGAAGGAUCAUGGGAAAAUUGCUUGCAGAUUGUGAGGAAGAGGCAAGACCAAGAUGGAAUUUGUGUAGACAAAGACUUUUGAACUUUGAUCAAUUGCAAACAGAGAGCACCAAGUCCUA